rfam:Plasmodium gonderi DNA, contig: Chr11.
UUUAAGGCUUCACUAGAAGCCAUUAUUAUUAUAGCUAGAAUGAAA